rnacentral:lncRNA from 1 species
AAGCAUUUGGGAACAUUGUACACAUUCCGUUUUUUUCAUCACUUCUCUAACUGAUACAUGUCAAAGUAAGUGACCCCCAGAGAAGAACAGCAGGUGAUGCUUUAGGGCACCCCAAGCACCCAAAAGUGCUGACACUCGAGGACGGUAUCCCUUCUUUUGCUCCACUGAAAUGUUGUUCUGUGAUGUGAGAGGAGUGAGGAACCAAGUGGGACUAUGAAAUUAAUUUGCAAGUGGAUGUGCUAUUUAUAACAGGACUUGACCUCUGCUGUGAUGAG